rnacentral:rRNA from 1 species
CCUACGGGUGGCAGCAGUGGGGAAUAUUGCACAAUGGGGGGAACCCUGAUGCAGCAAUGCCGCGUGAAGUAUGAAGUUUUUCGGAUUGUAAACUUCUUUUGUCCGGGACGAAGAAAGUGACGGUAGCGUAAGAAUAAGCCACGGCUAACUACGUACCAGCAGCCGCGGUAAUACGUAGGUGGGAAGCGUUAUCCGGAUUUACUGGGUGUAAAGGGCGAGUAGGCGGGAUUGCAAGUCAGAAGUGAAAACCCUGGGCCCAACCGAUAGAGUGCAUUUGAAACUGCACUGCUUGAGUGGUGGAGAGGCAAGCGGAAUUCCCGGUGUAGCGGUGGAAUGCGUAGAUAUCAGGAGGAACACCAGUGGCGAAGGCGGCCUGCUGGACAUUAACUGACGCUGAGGCGCGAAAGCGUGGGGAGCAAACAGGAUUAGAUACCCCAGUAGUC